rnacentral:rRNA from 1 species
GACAGAGGCCUCGAGCGUUAGGCGGAAUCACUGGGCUUAAAGCGUGUGUAGGCGGGCCCGUAAGUGUCUUGUGAAAUCCCACGGCUCAACCGUGGAACUGCUGGGCAUACUGCGGGUCUUGGGCCAACUAGGGGCAGCCGGAACAAGCGGUGGAGCGGCGAAAUGCGUAGAUAUCGCUUGGAACGCCGAAGGUGAAAACAGGCUGCUGGGGUUGCGCCGACGCUGAGACACGAAAGCCAGGGGAGCAAACGGG